rnacentral:misc_RNA from 1 species
AAGGCUUGACAUGCUAGUGGUCCCUCACCUUUCGGAUCGGUACCACUAGCAUGUCAAGCCUUGGUAAGGUUCUUCGCGUUGCGACGAAUUAAACCGCACGCUCCGCUGCUUGUGCGGGCCCCCGUCAAUUCCUUUGAGUUUUAGCCUUGCGGCCGUACUCCCCAGGCGGGACACUUAUUGCGUUAGCUGCGGCACGGAGGGGGUCGAUACCCCCCACACCUAGUGUCCAUCGUUUACGGCGUGGACUAC